CCUACGGGAGGCAGCAGUAGGGAAUCUUCCACAAUGGGCGAAAGCCUGAUGGAGCAACGCCGCGUGGGUGAAGAAGGCCUUCGGAUCGUAAAACCCUGUUGUUAGAGAAGAAAGUGCGUGAGCGUAACUGCUCACGUUUAGACGGUAUCUAACCAGAAAGCGCCGGCUAACUACGUGCCAGCACCGGCGGUAAUACGUAGGUGGCAAGCGUUAUCCGGAUUUAUUGGGCGUAAAGGGAACGCAGGCGGUCUUUUAAGUCUGAUGUGAAAGCCUUCGGCUUAACCGGAGUAGUGCAUUGGAAACUGGGAGACUUGAGUGCAGAAGAGGAGAGUGGAACUCCAUGUGUAGCGGUGAAAUGCGUAGAUAUGUGGAAGAACACCAGUGGCGAAGGCGGCUCUCUGGUCUGUAACUGACGCUGAGGUUCGAAAGCGUGGGUAGCAAACAGGAUUAGAUACCCUGGUAGUC
rnacentral:rRNA from 1 species